rnacentral:rRNA from 1 species
AUUGAACGCUGGCGGCAGGCCUAACACAUGCAAGUCGAGCGACCGGCGGACGGGUGAGUCAUGUCUGGGAAACUGCCUGAUGGAGGUGGAUAACUACUGGAAACGGUAGCUAAUCCUGCAUACCAUCAGACGUGCCCAGGUGUGAUUAGCUAGUAGGUGGGGUACCGGCUCACCUAGGCGACGAUCCCUAGUUGGUCUGAGAGGAUGACCAGCCACACUGGAACUGAGACACGGUCCAGACUCCUACGGGAGGCAGCAGUGGGGAAUAUUGCACAAUGGGCGAAAGCCUGAUACAGCCAUGCCGCGUGUGUGAAGAAGGCCUUCGGGUUGUAAAGCACUUUCAGCGGGGAGGCGUUACCCACAGAAGAAGCACCGGCUAACUCCGUGCCAGCAGCCGCGGUAAUUC